AGGUAAUACCUGGCGGGGGAAACCCUAGGGAUAGUGCCACAGAAAAUAAACCGCCAUAACAUGGCAAGGGUGAAAAGGUGUGGUAAGAGCACACCGGUUCUAUUGGUAACAAUGAACGCUGGAAAACCCCACUGGGAGCAAGACUAAGUAGAGAUGACAUUGUUGAAAAACUAAAAGCCGUCUUUGGCUAGUUAUCAGGGUUAGUUGCUUGAGCUUAAGAGUGAUCUUAAGCCUAGAGAAAUGAUAAGUUUAAACGACAGAACCCGGCUUAUAGUUUAUCUGGCAAA
rnacentral:RNase_P_RNA from 1 species